rnacentral:rRNA from 1 species
UACGUAGGGGGCUAGCGUUAUCCGGAAUUACUGGGCGUAAAGGGUGCGUAGGUGGUUUCUUAAGUCAGAGGUGAAAGGCUACGGCUCAACCGUAGUAAGCCUUUGAAACUGGGAAACUUGAGUGCAGGAGAGGAGAGUGGAAUUCCUAGUGUAGCGGUGAAAUGCGUAGAUAUUAGGAGGAACACCAGUUGCGAAGGCGGCUCUCUGGACUGUAACUGACACUGAGGCACGAAAGCGUGAGGAGCAAACAGG